AGCUCCAAUAGCGUAUAUUGAAGUUGUUGCAGUUAAAAAGCUCGUAGUUGGAUUUCGGGACGGAGUAAAUCGUCCGCCCUCGUGGUGAGUACGAUUUGUUCUGUUCUUCUGUCCAAGGAAAACCUCUGCUCUUAACUGAGUGGGGAUUGGACUUGGGCCUAUUACUUUGAGAAAAUUAGAGUGUUCAAAGCAGGCCAUCGCCUUGAAUACAUUAGCAUGGAAUAAUGAAAUAGGACUUUGGUUCUAUUUUGUUGGUUUCUAGGACCGAAGUAAUGAUUAAUAGGGAUAGUUGGGGGCAUUAAUAUUUAAUUGUCAGAGGUGAAAUUCUUGGAUUUAUGAAAGAUUAACUAAUGCGAAAGCAUUUGCCAAGGAUGUUUUCA
rnacentral:rRNA from 1 species